CUUCCUGUAGCUUAAUUUAACCCAAAGCACGGCCCUGAAGCUGCCGCGAUGGAUGCCCGCCGCCUCCCAGGGAAC
rnacentral:tRNA from 1 species